AUUUUUUUUUUACAAGUUUUAAUAGUAUGAAACGUUUUCUUUGAAAUCGGUUUGCUUAUGAACCCUACAAGAAAAAAACGCACCAAAUAAAUUUAUAGGAAUAAAAACAUGUUGUUGAGACUUUUGUAUUUCUUUUCCAACAGUGGAGAUAAUCGAGGUUAACACUUUUGCUGCUCAGUCAAGUAUGACAUCUGGGUGACUGUGACAAGUCACAUUCGUCACUUCAAAAGAAAAAAUUGGUGUAAAAUUUUUAAAAAAGUUGCUAGAGUGCUGCUCAUAAUGAAAGCUAAGUCAGUGUGUGACAUUUUGCUGACAUUAGGACGUGAUAUUGUCACAUUUAGUAUUUUUUUUAGAAUGUAAAAAUAAAAUCUGCUGCAAUGACGCUGUGUAUAGUUGCUUUAAAUACUUGAGAAAUUUUGGCAUUCAUAAACAUUUUGACCAUUUUUGUGUUUGUAUAUGCACGAGUGACAUAAAGGAAAUGGGGUGGGUGGGUUAUACCUACGACAUCAAAAAACACGCAACUGAAUGCUAUAGUCUAUGUUCUUAUUUCGAUCUUGGUUUCAAAGAACGCGAUGUAAAUUUGUUAAUAGCAAGCUAUUCUCUGGAACUGAGGCUCAGACACUUUAAUUAUGGUUAGUGGUCGUUGAAUCUUCAAACGUUACAGAUUUGGUGAAGUUAUGCACAGUGUUCAAAUAAUAAGCAUCUCCAUUACAGAUUCCAAUAUACCAAAAAGAGAUGAAUGACUUUAAAAGAGAAUUUACGAAAUAAAACUGGCAUUUUUGAAAAGUGAGGUACAGUUAUAACUUCAAAAAUAGUAUCUUAUUCUAUGAAUGUACAUAAUU